rnacentral:lncRNA from 1 species
AUUUAUGUUACUGUUGAAUAAGCCCCCAGUGAAUCACUAUGCUGUCUCCGCCCCUGACUAACAGAUAAUAUUACUUAUCAAACCAUCUGCACGCAGCAUGCAUAAUACCAAAAAUAUAAUACUAUUAAUAAUAACAGUCUGUAAAAGGGAACUCAUGCAAUUAAGUCGUGGUAAGCACGUGAUGCAUCUUGAGUAAUUGUUGGUAUUAUUUCCUUUUCACAAUCUGUUGGUAACAAACUCUUGUAUUUAAAUUUAAAUCAAAGUUGACUUUUUUUUUUCCUAAAAAAAAAAAAGAUGUUCUAUUUAUAUUGAUACAAUUAACACAUCAAAUAUUCCAUUUAUAUUUAUCUAUAUCAAUUAACAUAUCCAAAAUAAAUGUCUUAAUCAUUUAAAAAAAAGGAAGUUAACUAACAUACGUACGUGAAGUCUUGUCUGACAAUUAAGUUAACGAAAGUAAUUUUCAUUCAUGAUUGUUAACUACCGUACGUGAAGUCUGAAAAAAAAAAACAAACCGAGCCUGACAAUUAACAAUUAAGCCCCAUAAAAGACUAAUUAAUAAAAACACACUCAAAAUGACGUAAUUUUGUGUUUGUUUUAAAAAUA